GAUGAAGAACGUAGCGAAAUGCGAUAAGUAAUGUGAAUUGCAGAAUUCAGUGAAUCAUCGAAUCUUUGAACGCACAUUGCGCCCGCCAGUAUUCUGGCGGGCAUGCCUGUUCGAGCGUCAUUACAACCCUCAGGCCCCCGGGCCUGGCGUUGGGGAUCGGCGGAAGCCCCCUGCGGGCACAACGCCGUACCCCAAAUACAGUGGCGGUCCCGCCGCAGCUUCCAUUGCGUAGUAGCUAACACCUCGCAACUGGAGAGCGGCGCGGCCACGCCGUAAAACACCCAACUUCUGAAUGUUGACCUCGAAUCAGGUAGGAAUACCCGCUGAACUUAAGCAUAUCAAUAAGCGGAGGA
rnacentral:misc_RNA from 1 species